rnacentral:lncRNA from 1 species
UGUGUCAUGUGACAUAAUUUAUCCCAUUCAAAAUAAUAGGAAGUCAAUUAUCAGUUAGCUUGCUUGCACAGAUCAUAAGAUUUUUAGAAGCAGAUGCUGAUACGAAGAAGGGGGGUUUUUUUCGCCUCAACAAGUAGAUAUUUUGUUAUUGGGGAAGAGCUGUAAUAAGGACUCUUAUUCACUUAAAGUUAACUGGAGAACAAAAGGAGACUGUGUGAGAAGGAUCCUGGGAACUUCCAGGGAACAGCCACUCCCAGGAAGGAGCAUGAGGCAGUCAGGCCUUGGGAGCAGCGCAAACCCAGGAGUCAGUCUGCAUCCUGCCUUCCACUGCCUCUUCUCAGGUCGGCUCUAUGUGUUGACUUCAUUCCUCUCUCUUGAUGCACUCCAGCUCUGUCCACAGCUCUUGAGUUUUACAUUUGACCAUUUUAGACAGCAGAAGGAGACUAAUCUGAUGUUCUUUCUGGUCCCAGGAAAUCCAAGAAAGGAAUUCAUUGUUUCAGCUUGGGUCAGGCGGCACCCCGGAACCCAUCGACUGUUGUUAGGGAAGCGCGGGUAGAAACCGUAACUGAUAUGGAGGGAUCGGUUCCCUUCAGAAUGUGGGGGGAGGGUUUCUGGGCAAGUAAUCUCAUAGACAUCCAUGACAAGACUUGAAGAAAGAAAAACGAAAUGAGGAAUAACCAUUGGGCAGAGUCCGUCUCUAGCCGUCAGCUUUGCUCUUUCACGAGGCACAAGAACUUCCCCCAGACAUGCACCACGUGUGGGAUCAACAAAGGAAAGGCUUGAAAUGUGGAUAUGAGACCUAGUUUUGCAACUCACAAGCCACGUGACCCUGGAUAAGUCAUCCUUUUAGAAUGGGGUUAAUAAGUCCUCCCCUGUUCGCUGCUGUGGUAGAGAACCCCCGCUGAGAACUGGGUGGUUCUUAGAGAGACAGCAGAGCCAGUUUACUGGGUACAAACAUAGACUCUAGAGCAGUGGUUCUCAACUGGGGUGAUUUUGUCUCUUGGGGGACAUUUGGAAAUAUCUGGAGACAUUUUUGGUUGUCACAGUAGGAGGAGUAGGCUCCUGGCAAUGGGUGGAUAGAAGCCAGGGAUGCUGUUAAAUAUCCUGCAAUGCCCAGGACAGCCCCCGAUAUCAGUAAAGCGGAAGCCGAGCUACCCUGCUCCAGAGCCAUGUUACCUCAAUUCUAGUUAUAGCUCCGCCAUUUCAAAAUCUGGGAAAUUACCUCACUUUUUGUGCCUCAGUUUUCCCACCUCAAAAUGGGACUAGUACUGGUACCUAUCUCUUAAGGCUAUCGUGAGGAUCAAGCCAAUUAAUACAUGAAAAGAGCUUAGGCCCUGCCUGAUGCAUAGUAAGUAUUCACAAAAUGUAAGCUGCUAUCUCCCCCAAACCCGGCCAAGCAUCAGAAUCACCCUGAGACCUUGUUGAGUAACAGAUUCCCAGGCUCUGCGUUAGGUGUACUGGAUCUGAAUCUUUGGGAUUUGGAAUCCAGGAAUCUAUGGGGUUUUUUGAGUCCCCCAGCUGCUCUUGAUGAUCAGCCAGGUGAGGGGUGACUGCUCUGAAGCCCGGCUAUGCAGAGAGUAGUCUUCAGACCAGCAGCAUCAGGAGCGCCUCAGAGCGGUGCCACCCAGACACCGACGUGCACGCAAAGCGCCUGGGGGCCUUGUUACGCUGCAGGGUCUGAUUCAGGAGGUCAGGCGAGGCCUGAGAGUCUGCGUUUCUAACAAGCUGCCAAGUGAGGCCGAUGUGCUGUCCUCUGACCACCCUUUGAGUCACGAAACUCCAAAGCACUUCAUAUAUGCCUGUUAUGGUUCCCAAGCCCUCAAAGAUGCCAGUGGACCCCAAAGCCUGUUGAAUGCCAAAGAGUUGAGCUAAAACAGCUGCCACUGUUUUUUUUUUCUACAACCAAAAAGCAGAGAAAGGACACUGGAUAUGAGAUUUUUGUAGACAACCAACUCAUACCACAAAUAAGGACACUGAGGUUUCUUCAGUCCUGGUGCCAGUAUGAUCUACAUCGCUUUUCCAUCCUUUGGGCAGAAGCUGUUGCAUAUUCUGGUGUGUAACAUACUCUCCCCUCUCCCCGCCAAGCAAAAGGAAUCCAAAAUGAUACUGCAGACCGCACACCUGCAUUUACUGCUGGAAAGUCAGUCACCUUCCAGACCUGAAAUUAGGGAUGGUGCUUCCCCUGGUGAGCUGAGCACAGAAGAACAACUCCUGCAAAGACAACAGCUUGUGCAUUUCAACUGCGGUUCUAUUAUUUAUUUAACUAUUAACAUUGUAGCAGCAAUCAUCAUCAUCAUCCUCGUUGUUGUCGUCAUCAUCAUCAUCAUCAUCAUCACCAUCCUGGACCACAAAACUGCUCAGAGGCAGAGCCCUUCCUGAGUGUGAGGAUGCUCAAGUGCAGAUGGCUGGUCUAGGUGACUUUUAAGGUCUUUUCAGUCACUGACUUUGUUAUAAUUCAUUGGUUUCUGGUGCCUAGAGGUGCCUUGUCUUGGAGUUUGUUUUUUCUCUGUUGAGCGUUUUGAUAGCUGAGAUGAAUGAAUUUAGAAUAAUAAACAGCAGGUAAAUGAGGUCUCUAUGUAAAUGAGGAAUCACUGUGUAAUUAUGGUCCUUCCAUUUGCAGGUUUUGCUUCUGGAAAAUAAGAUUCAGGACCCUGCCCAGUUUCCACUCAUCCUUUAUAGGGGGAUGUUCGUGAUCACCACCCUGUGCAUAAGCCUCAGGCCUUGGCUACCUCAAGUUUGGGGUCACCACCCAGGCAAGCAUCACCCUCAACCUCCCCAACUGUUGGUGAGUGAGAUCAGGCCUCAAGUCAGAAGGAUGCCAUGCAGGUGGGGCUGGCUUGGCUUCCGCUUAUCAGAGGAGAGUAGCAAGGUAUGAAUGAGGAUCGUCUCCAGCAUGGAGAAGAGAUGCCAGGAAACUGAACUGUGGAAAGAGGUAGACCGGAUAAAUCAGGAGACCUGGAUUCUUGUCCAACAUGGCCAAUUAAUUCUCCUGUGUUCUGGGCAAGAUAUUUCUCCUCUCUAUACUUCAGUUUCCCAAAGAAAGGGAUUAGACCAAAUGGUUUCUGAGUGCCUUCCCAACUUUGACUGAUGUGUUAGUCAGUUCUCUCAUUUGCAAGUGACUGAAAACCAAUCCAAACUGGCCCAAGUUUUAAAACAAAAAGCAGACAGAAGUCCUUGCACAUAUCUGACUUCAGGCAUGGCUGGAUCCAGCUACUUAAAUGGUAUCAUCAGGACUCAGUCUGUCUCUAUCUCCUAGGUUUAUUUUUCUCUGGGUGGGCUUUAUUCAAGUAGACUUCACACGCACACAGUGGCAGAUAACUGCUGGCAGCCUCUCAGUUACCGGCCCUUCUCUCAUCAACCUUGAUGUAAAGAGAGUUUCUCUUUUCCAAAAGGCCCAUUGAAAGCCUUGGGAUUAAUUCUAAUCCCCACAGCUUGGGUCACAUGUCCAUUCUGAACCAGUCCUAUGGCCAGCAGAUGAAGUAUGCUGAUUGGCUGGGCCUAAAUCACAUGCCUUAGUGGGAUGGGGUCAGGAGUUCCCUGAACCUAGCGAGCUGAGAGUGAGGACAGGGUGACUUCAGGUUAACUGAAGAGGUAAUGGUUGCUGGGUCAAUUAAUCCAACCAAGGUCCCUUAGAACAUAUCAUAAUUACGGUGAAAUCUGGGGACCACAGAUCAUCUCAUAGACACUCUUACAACUUCUCAGGAAGCCAGGCAAGAUGUGGGGAUCAUUGCAAAGGGCAGUAAGGGGGAUGUCACUAGAGGGUGGCCAGCAGCCUCUUCUCCUUUUGCUCACCAUCUUGACUUUCUAAAAGCGCUCAGGUUCUCAGGCACAUGGACCUUUUCUCGUAUUCUGUUCCCUGCUCUGAGCCCUCACAUUAACAUCCUCACUGGGAAUGUGCUGUGUCUGUGCUCAGGGUGAAUACGAAUGUGUUGGGUCCUUACAGGCAGAUACAGGAAGCGUCAAGUGAUGAGCUACAGCUGAGCGCUGUCUACCUGGGGGCCAGGAUUGGUGCAAGGAUCCCGUGAGGUCUUCCAGAGGCUACUGGUAUCUGUAGAUGGAUCUUUCUGAUUCCCUUGGUCGUCCGCAGUUUGAACCAGUCUGUCAAGCUCCUCUCCUUGGGCCGUAUGUGCCUCUCCUACCCCUGCAAUUCCACGUCCCCUUGGAGAUCAUCACACCAUUCACCAUGUCCCGGGUGCUGAAGCGCCGGCCUUCGUGGUAAACCUGGACGUCCACCCUGCCAUGGUCUGUCUGACCAUGAGUAAAAGGCAAGCAGCCUUGCUUCUCUCCUGCCCCUCCACCAAACCCCAGAAGUUUCCAGGAGUCAGGCCGCCAGGACCUCCCUAGCGCAAUGCAAAGUUCCAGGCACAGUAGAUGUUUGUGGAAUUAAGGUGAACCUAAGUGGGACUCAUCCGUUAGGUUCUUUUGGUGGCAAGCAAGAGAAUACAACUCUGGCCAAGAAGCUAAA